UUCUCAAUGACAGCAGACCCUACAGGCAGCGCGGGAAAAUUCACGUAAAUAGGAAAUGACGCAGUUGGUUCAUAUUCAUUGGUCUCGCGCCCGGCUGCCACCUCAAGGCUCGGAAGAGAGUGUGUAAUUAUGAUUAUGUUGAUGAUGAAUCAUGAUUAAAUUCAGUGGUGGACUGUCCACACACCUGUUUCGGGUGUUUCUCCGUUUGGCCCGAGGCGCUACAACAGGUCAAAGAUGAAAGCACAGAUGUGUGAUUAAUAGCAGGCGAACUCGUGCACUGUAAAUUUUUGUAAAGUACUUAUUUUGCAAGGAGAUAGUGUCAAUGAAGAACUUGAGAAAAUAUGAGACGUGAUUUGGGAAGAAGCGAAAUAUCAGUUUUCAGAGUCUUACCACAGGAGGGCAGGACUUCCUUGACUACUGGACAAACUGAGACACAGUCUGCAUGCAUAUUGAAAAAUUCUGCAGCUAACGCUGGAUCCGAUCUGCUGAGUCCUCGAAGUGGAAAAUCUCAAAGCCGGGCUUCCCUUUAUCAGCCCUUCCUUCUGAGGAAGAAAGAGAACUUCCUUCAAAACAGGUGCAGACUGUUGAUGGGGGGCUUGAGCUGGGGAGACAGACUCUGACACACUUCUGAUCUAAGGAGGAUGUCUGCCGUUUGAGUCACAGGUCGUUGAAAAGUAAAUUGGUGCACCCUACACACAGACACACUUGCACUAAGACUUUGCUGCUGUUGCUAUGACUACAUGCGUUCUGCGGUAAAUGUGUUGUCUGACACUGUAAGGUCAAAGAGAAUACUCAUGUUUUCAUAUCUACUCACACACUUCUCUCUCUCUCACACACUUGCUCUUCUCAGACACGCUCAAGAUCGUGGGUAAUUUUGAUUAGGGCCUGUGUGACCUUGAGACUCAUAAAGAGCUGCCUACAGUACUGAUCCUUCUGGAUAUGUGUGCUGUGAACCGUCUACAGAUAACUAGCCAUCAUGCUCUGAAUUUUAGUUUUCAACCUUUGGAUCCCUUGGUGGACAAUAAUGUUAAUAUUAAUUUGUUUACACACUUUAUAAUGCUAAGAUUUAGGGCUGGGAAUUGUAAUAUCAACAAAUUCAAUUAUUUAGGUUUUUUUGCGAAACAAUUUUUUUUUCUCCUGAAUAAAAGUAAAUCUGUGAGGACGCAUAUGUAUAUAUAUGGAGAGAGGGUAUUACAUAAUAUAUUACAUACAAUUGUAUUUUUGUUUUGCAUGUAUUUUUUAAAUAUUAAUUUAGUUUUUCUAACAGUAAUUGGCAGACCCCCUGCAAUCCCACCUUGGGACUCCCUGUUGUAGACCCUGCUUUAGUCUGUAUCAGUCUGGAACUGCUCCAUAUUCUCUGAAAUCUCUAACUUUGUCUUGGUGAAAAUGAUGAACUAUGAAAGCAAUUUUCUUAAAAUAUAUCUUUAAUCAUCGGUUCAUUGUCUGGCAUAUCGUCGGUUGCUGUGAUACUUGAUUGAGAGCAUGUUAAACACAUGGAAUUGCAAUCAGGCUUCAUUGUCGUGUAUCAUUGUUUGUUUCCUGCUUUAACAUGAAAAGAUUGUAUCAAAGUACAAAUAAAGACACACAAUUUAU